rnacentral:misc_RNA from 1 species
GUCCUUCUAUACCGUACCUGUAGAAAAUGAUCGUCAGUCCCCUGCAUAAUGCAUAUAAACAUCGUCCAUGCUUUUUGCAGAUAGUUAAGAUGCAUAAUGCAGUCAAAACAGAAUUAUAGGCAAAGAAAGAUUGACGAUCUAAGGAGUUUAGAUUUAUGUUCUAAGUUUGACAUGGUGCCUUCUUUGGGACUUUAGUCUUUUCCAGUCACAUUAGUGAUACAUUUAUCAAAAUAAUUCUUUUAACUAAAUUCCCUCGAUUUCAGACACAAACAACCAAUUCUGAAUCCUACCUCAAUUCCCUACCAAAUAAAACCCUGAUCCCUGAAAUUUUCCCAAGCCUCACCAGAGUUUGGAGACAGUGCAUUUGAGAAAUAAAUUGCAAGUACCAGUCAAAGCUUAAUCAAAAAGGAAAAUAACUGAGACAGAUAUUUACAUAAAAGUGGGGAAAAGGCUAAAUGAUUAAUAGAAAACAUCAGCAAAAAGAAAACAGACAUACUUGGGUACAAACACUAUGAAGCCAUUGGACCUUAUCUUCACUAUUCUGGCCUCUGUGUCUGUGGGCCUUUUUCUGAAGUAUAUGAGUGUAUGGAGCUCCACUGAACCUCGACUUGCCAUCUGAGCAUUCCUAUGCCGGUAAUUUAAGU